GAUGAACGCUGGCGGCGUGCCUAAUACAUGCAAGUCGAGCGAACGGACGAGAAGCUUGCUUCUCUGAUGUUAGCGGCGGACGGGUGAGUAACACGUGGAUAACCUACCUAUAAGACUGGGAUAACUUCGGGAAACCGGAGCUAAUACCGGAUAAUAUUUUGAACCGCAUGGUUCAAAAGUGAAAGACGGUCUUGCUGUCACUUAUAGAUGGAUCCGCGCUGCAUUAGCUAGUUGGUAAGGUAACGGCUUACCAAGGCAACGAUGCAUAGCCGACCUGAGAGAGUGAUAGGCCACACUGGAGCUGGGACACGGUCCAGACUCCUACGGGAGGCAGCAGUAGGGAAUCUUACGCAAUGGGCGAAAGCCUGACGGAGCAGCGCCGCGUGAGUGGUGAAGGUCUUCGGAUCGUAAAGCUCUGUUAUUAGGGAAGAACAUAUGUGUAAGGAACUGUGCACAGCGUGACGGUACCUAGUCAGAAAGCCACGGCUAACUACGUG
rnacentral:rRNA from 1 species